rnacentral:rRNA from 1 species
UACGUAGGGGCAAGCGUUAUCCGGAUUUACUGGGUGUAAAGGGAGCGCAGACGGCAGUGCAAGUCUGAUGUGAAAGCCCGGGGCUCAACCCCGGAACUGCAUUGGAAACUGCACAGCUGGAGUGUCGGAGAGGUAAGCGGAAUUCCUAGUGUAGCGGUGAAAUGCGUAGAUAUUAGGAGGAACACCGGUGGCGAAGGCGGCUUACUGGACGAUAACUGACGUUGAGGCUCGAAAGCGUGGGGAGCAAACAGGAUUAGAUACCCGGGUAGUCCCU